GACGAACGCUGGCGGCGUGCUUAACACAUGCAAGUCGAACGGAAAGGCCCUGCUUUUGUGGGGUGCUCGAGUGGCGAACGGGUGAGUAACACGUGGGUAACCUGCCCUUGACUUUGGGAUAACUUCAGGAAACUGGGGCUAAUACCGGAUAGGAGCUCCUGCUGCAUGGUGGGGGUUGGAAAGUUUCGGCGGUUGGGGAUGGACUCGCGGCUUAUCAGCUUGUUGGUGGGGUAGUGGCUUACCAAGGCUUUGACGGGUAGCCGGCCUGAGGGGGUGACCGGCCACAUUGGGACUGAGAUACGGCCCAGACUCCUACGGGAGGCAGCAGUGGGGAAUAUUGCACAAUGGGCGGAAGCCUGAUGCAGCAACGCCGCGUGCGGGAUGACGGCCUUCGGGUUGUAAACCGCUUUCGCCUGUGACGAAGCGUGAGUGACGGUAAUGGGUAAAGAAGCACCGGCUAACUACGUG
rnacentral:rRNA from 1 species